rnacentral:rRNA from 1 species
GAUGAACGCUGGCGGCGUGCCUAAUACAUGCAAGUCGAGCGAACAGACGAGGAGCUUGCUCCUCUGACGUUAGCGGCGGACGGGUGAGUAACACGUGGAUAACCUACCUAUAAGACUGGGAUAACUUCGGGAAACCGGAGCUAAUACCGGAUAAUAUAUUGAACCGCAUGGUUCAAUAGUGAAAGACGGUUUUGCUGUCACUUAUAGAUGGAUCCGCGCCGCAUUAGCUAGUAGGUAAGGUAACGGCUUACCAAGGCGACGAUGCGUAGCCGACCUGAGAGGGUGAUCGGCCACACUGGAACUGAGACACGGUCCAGACUCCUACGGGAGGCAGCAGUAGGGAAUCUUCCGCAAUGGGCGAAAGCCUGACGGAGCAACGCCGCGUGAGUGAUGAAGGUCUUCGGAUCGUAAAACUCUGUUAUUAGGGAAGAACAAAUGUGUAAGUAACUAUGCACGCCUUGACGGUACCUAAUCAGAAAGCCACGGCUAACUACGUG